GAUGAACGCUGGCGGCGUGCCUAACACAUGCAAGUCGAACGAAGAACCUUACCUGAUUCUUCGGAUGAGAGUUUGGUGACUGAGUGGCGGACGGGUGAGUAACGCGUGGGUAACCCGCGCUGUACAGGGGGAUAACAGAUGGAAACGGCUGCUAUUACUGCAUACGCGCACGACAAGACAUCACCUUGUGUGUACACCUCCGGUGGGACAGUAGGGGCCCGCGUCUGAUUAGAUGGUUGGCAGGGUCAUGGCCUACCAAGGGAACGAUCACUAGCCGGUCAGUGAGGAAGGGCGGCGACUUCUAAGCGAGGACGCAGUCCGAACUCCUACGGGAGGGAGGAGUGGGGGAUAUUGCACAAUGGGGGGAGCGCUGAUGGACCAAGGCCGGGAGAGUGAAGAAGUAUGGCAGUAUGUAAAGCGCAAUUAGCAGGGAAGGUAAUGACGGUACCUGAUUAAGAAGCCCCGGCUAAAUACGUG
rnacentral:rRNA from 1 species